rnacentral:rRNA from 1 species
UCGGGUUUUGCGGUGGAUACGGGCCGGCUGGAGGCAGGCAGGGGAGAACGGAAUUCCUGGUGUAGCGGUGAAAUGCGCAGAUAUCAGGAGGAACACCGGUGGCGAAGGCGGUUCUCUGGGCCUGUCCUGACGCUGAGGAGCGAAAGCGUGGGGAGCGAACAGGAUUAGAUACCCUGGUAGUCCACGCUGUAAACGUUGGGCGCUAGGUGUGGGGUUCUUCCACGGGUCCCGUGCCGUAGCUAACGCAUUAAGCGCCCCGCCUGGGGAGUACGGCCGCAAGGCUAAAACUCAAAGGAAUUGACGGGGACCCGCACAAGCGGCGGAGCAUGCGGAUUAAUUCGAUGCAACGCGAAGAACCUUACCAAGGCUUGACAUAUACGAGAACGGGCCAGAAAUGGUCAACUCUUUGGACACUCGUAAACAGGUGGUGCAUGGUUGUCGUCAGCUCGUGUCGUGAGAUGUUGGGUUAAGUCCCGCAACGAGCGCAACCCUCGUUCGAU